AUUGAACGCUGGCGGCAGGCCUAAAACAUGCACGUCGAACGAGUGGCGGACGGGUGAGUAAUGUCUGGGAAACUGCCUGAUGGAGGGGGAUAACUACUGGAAACGGUAGCUAAUACCGCAUACCAUCGGAUGUGCCCAGGUGGGAUUAGCUAGUAGGUGGGGUAACGGCUCACCUAGGAGACGAUCCCUAGCUGGGCUGAGUGGAUGACCAGCCAUACUGGAACUGCGACACGGUCCAGACUCCUACGGGAGGCAGCAGUGGGGAAGAUUGCACCAUGGGCGCAAGCCUGAUGCAGCCAUGCCGCGUGUAUGAAGAAGGCCUUCGGGUUGUAAAGUACUUUCAGCGGGGAGGCGGUACCCGCAGAAUAAGCACCGGCUAACUCCGUGCCAGCAGCCGCGGUAAUUC
rnacentral:rRNA from 1 species